UACGGGGGGGGCAAGCGUUGUUCGGAAUUACUGGGCGUAAAGGGCGCGUAGGCGGUUGGAUAAGUCAGCUGUGAAAACCACGGGCUUAACUCGUGGCCUGCAGUUGAGACUGUCUGGCUUGAGUGUGGGAGAGGAGAGUGGAAUUCCUGGUGUAGCGGUGAAAUGCGCAGAUAUCAGGAGGAACACCUAUGGCGAAGGCAGCUCGCUGGGACGGUAUUGACGCUGAGACGCGAAAGCGUGGGGAGCAAAACGG
rnacentral:rRNA from 1 species